rnacentral:rRNA from 1 species
UGCAGUCGAGCGGAAACGACACUAACAAUCCUUCGGGUGCGUUAAUGGGCGUCGAGCGGCGGACGGGUGAGUAAUGCCUAGGAAAUUGCCUUGAUGUGGGGGAUAACCAUUGGAAACGAUGGCUAAUGCCGCAUAAUGCCUACGGGCCAAAGAGGGGGACCUUCGGGCCUCUCGCGUCAAGAUAUGCCUAGGUGGGAUUAGCUAGUUGGUGAGGUAAUGGCUCACCAAGGCGACGAUCCCUAGCUGGUCUGAGAGGAUGAUCAGCCACACUGGAACUGAGACACGGUCCAGACUCCUACGGGAGGCAGCAGUGGGGAAUAUCGCACAAUGGGCGAAAGCCUGAUGCAGCCAUGCCGCGUGUAUGAAGAAGGCCUUCGGGUUGUAAAGUACUUUCAGUUGUGAGGAAGGGGGUGUUGUUAAUAGCAACAUCUCUUGACGUUAGCAACAGAAGAAGCACCGGCUAACUCCGUGCCAGCAGCCGCGGUAAUACGGAGGGUGCGAGCGUUAAUCGGAAUUACUGGGCGUAAAGCGCAUGCAGGUGGUUCAUUAAGUCAGUUGUGAAAGCCCGGGGCUCAACCUCGGAACUGCAUUUGAAACUGGUGA